CCUUCGAUAGCUCAGUUGGUAGAGCGGAGGACUGUAGUGGAAGCUCUCCAGGCAUCCUUAGGUCGCUGGUUCGAAUCCGGCUCGAAGGA
rnacentral:tRNA from 2 species